rfam:Weissella oryzae SG25 DNA, scaffold: sequence53.
GAUGAUUAGGGUGAAGUCGUAACAAGGUAGCCGUAGGAGAACCUGCGGCUGGAUCACCUCCUUU